ACCUCUUAAGAAGAUGAAGGCAGAGAUCAGGGUGAGAAAGAACACUGGAUUGCCACCCACCAAAAGCUGAGGGAGAGGACUGAGACAGAUUCUCCCGUACAACCUGGAAGGAGCCGACCCUGCAAACUCCUUGAUCUUGGACUUCCAACCCUCAGAACGGCCAUUUCCUGUAUUUCAUGGUAAAUAUCACACCCAGAACCAUCACCGGCAUGGAAUCCCAAAAGCAAGAUAGAUGACUCAUUCACGUUUGGGUCCUGUUUAUACUGACAAAAUCCUCUGAGUGAGAGGACAUGAGAGCUGGGCACAAGGAGGCUGGUAACGGGGCAGGAGAAACCACAGCGGGACAGAGUGUGAGAAUGGAUCAUCACACAGUGCAGGCCUAUGGAGACAAAUCCGAGCUGAGGCUCAAGGAAAAGAAACACAGAUUGGAAAUCAGGCCUGAGACCUGAUCAUGCAUGAGGUCCGCUUAUAAAAAUGAUCAUUUGUGCUGA